rnacentral:rRNA from 1 species
GAUGAACGCUGGCGGCGUGCUUAACACAUGCAAGUCGAACGAUGAAGCACAGAUUGCUGGGUGGUUUAGUGGCGAACGGGUGAGUAACACGUGAGUAACCUGCCCUUAACUCUGUGAUAAGCCUGGGAAACUGGGUCCAAUACCGGAUAGGAGCGUCCACCGCCUGGUGGGAGUUGGAAAGAUUCAUCGGUUUUGGAUGGACACGCGGCGUAUCAGCUUGUUCGUGUGGGAAUGGCUCACCAAGGCGACGACGGGUAGCCGGCCUGAGAGGGUGACCGGCCACACUGGGACUGAGACACGGCCCAGACUCCAACAGGAGGCAGCAGUGGGGAGUAUUGCACAAUGAGCGCGAGCCUGAUGAAGCGACGCCGCGUGAGGGAUGACGGCCUUCGGGUUGUAAACCUCUUUCAGUAAGGAAGAAGCGAAAGUGACGGUACCUACAGAAGAAGCACCGGCUAACUACGUG